rnacentral:rRNA from 1 species
UACGUAGGGUGCGAGCGUUAAUCGGAAUUACUGGGCGUAAAGCGUGCGCAGGCGGUUUUGUAAGCCAGAUGUGAAAUCCCCGGGCUUAACCUGGGAAUGGCAUUUGGGACUGCAAGGCUCGAGUGCGGCAGAGGAGACUGGAAUUCCUGGUGUAGCAGUGAAAUGCGUAGAUAUCAGGAGGUACACCGAUGGCGAAGGCAGGUCUCUGGGCUGACACUGACGCUCAUGCACGAAAGCGUGGGGAGCAAACAGG